GCAGUUGGUCGUUCCAUCGCCCGUUUUAGCGGGAGGAAAGUCCGGGCAACAGAGAGCGCCAUACUUCCUAACGGGAAGACAUCCGCGAGGGUGUACCAGCGUAACAGAAAACAACCGCCUCUCUUUGGGGGGGUAAGGGUGAAAAUGCGAGGUAAGAGCUCACAGAGUUGGGUGGCAACAUCCAAUAUCGUAUGCGUUAUGGGUUGAAAGACUAUGUAUACCGGCUAUCAGGGCUGCUCGUCCAAUGCCGGGGGGUAGGUCGCUUGAACCUUUCAGUGAUGAAAGGUCCAGAUAAAUGAUGGAAACCUGAUCCAAUCUUUACAGGGGGUAUCUGGUACAGAACCCGGCUUACAGACCAACUGCAUAA
rnacentral:RNase_P_RNA from 1 species